ACGCUGGCGGUAGGCUUAACACAUGCAAGUCGAGCGGUAACAGACAUUUUGAUUUUGCUUGCAAAAUCUCGUGCUGACGAGCGGCGAACGGGUGAGUAACGCGUAGGAAUCUACCUAGUAGAAGGGGAUAGCCCGAGGAAACUCGGAUUAAUACCGUAUACGUCCUUAGGGAGAAAGAGGGCUUAGCUUUGAUGCUCUCGCUAUUAGAUGAGCCUGCGUAAGAUUAGCUUGUUGGUGAGGUAAAGGCUCACCAAGGCGACGAUCUUUAGCUGGUCUGAGAGGACGAUCAGCCACAUUGGGACUGAGACACGGCCCAGACUCCUACGGGAGGCAGCAGUGGGGAAUAUUGGACAAUGGGCGCAAGCCUGAUCCAGCCAUACCGCGUGUGUGAAGAAGGCCUUCGGGUUGUAAAGCACUUUAAGUAAGGAAGAAAAGAGUAUUGUUAAUACCAAUACUCCGUGACAUUACUUACAGAAUAAGGACCGGCUAAUUCCGUGCCAGCAGCCGCGGUAAUACGGAAGGUCCAAGCGUUAAUCGGAAUUACUGGGCGUAAAGCGCGCGUAGGUGGUUUAUUAAGUUGGGUGUGAAAGCCCCGGGCUCAACCUGGGAACUGCAUCCAAAACUGAUUCACUAGAGUACGAAAGAGGAAAGUAGAAUUCACAGUGUAGCGGUGGAAUGCGUAGAUAUUGUGAAGAAUACCGAUGGCGAAGGCAGCUUUCUGGUUCUGUACUGACACUGAGGUGCGAAAGCGUGGGUAGCGAACAGGAUUAGAUACCCUGGUAGUCCACGCCGUAAACGAUGACAACUAGCUGUUGGGAAGCUAUGCUUUUCAGUGGCGCAGCUAACGUCUUAAGUUGUCCGCCUGGGGAGUACG
rnacentral:rRNA from 1 species